rnacentral:rRNA from 1 species
AUCUACAGCCAUGCUACCCUGGACAAGCCUGGCCCCUUCUAAUCUUGGAAGCUAAGCAGGGUCGGGCCUGGUUAGUACUUGGAUGGGAGACCGCCUAGGAAGACCAGGAGCUGUAGGCA